AUGCCGGAGGCGGGACUGACUGACUCACCGCUGUUUCUUCAUCCGCAACACGUUCAGAUUAACACCGAGGCUCCCUGCCGUUCACAGCGUCUUGCCAAGUACAAUACUACAACCAGGCAAGUAGCUCUUCUUCUUCUGAGGAUCGAGGAGGAGCUGGGCGACGCUGCGGUUACACUGUUCUCCAUCGGCGUCGACUCCCAAGGUCUGGUUCGGUUCGGUCCGCCCCUUUCGAUGCUCCCCAUUCAUCUGUUUAGCCUCAAAGAUUUGCAAUUUAUUCGUUCGUUUCCAAGCAUCGGCAGCAGCUGGCAUGACGAGCACUGCACAAGGUCCCUGCUGCCUGCUGACUGUCAAUGGCUCCCUUCCCUGCUGCAGGUCGUAGUUGAAAUAGACCCACAAGACAGAAAUCAGCUCCGGAUUAGUCCUUCCGAAGCUGAGUUAUUUUACAUCAGUUUACCCCCUUUUAGCAGCUGCCAUUUUUUUCGGUACUCCUUUCGAGCAUUGUUCAAAGAAAUCAGCAGCUGCCAUUAUUUUACAUCAAUUUACCCCCUUUUAGCAGCUACCAUUAUUUUUCUGGAGGAGAAAUUCAUUCUCAGAUCACAAGAACCACAGAACCACAGAACACCAAGGGUAGCAGAUUCUCGCUACUCCUACUUCAAGAAUGCCGAGUUUGCAAUGAGCAGCUUUGCAGAGCUACUAUGGCCUGAGUUCUCAAAGAGGAGAUGGCAUGGAUUUAAGUACAUUAAUGUCCUUGUACAGCAAGGGAAGCUCCCAAGUAUGCGUUUGAAUAUGGACACAGACUCAAAGAACGGUGGGAUCUUUAUGUGGUCGGGCUCCAAGUGGACCUUCAACCAUGAGUCCUUCACCUGUCCGUUGCUCGACGGUCUGCCCAAACCUGUGCCGGGUCGUAGGAUGAAAGCUGCUUUUACUGAGUUCUACUCAAUGUAG
rnacentral:rRNA from 1 species